rnacentral:rRNA from 1 species
GAUGAACGCUGGCGGCGUGCCUAAUACAUGCAAGUCGAGCGAACGGACGAGGAGCUUGCUGCUCUGACGUUAGCGGCGGACGGGUGAGUAACACGUGGAUAACCUACCUAUAAGACUGGGAUAACUUGGGGAAACCGUAGCUAAUACCGGAUAAUAUUUUGAACCGCAUGGUUCAAAAGUGAAAGACGGUGUUGCUGUCACUUAUAGAUGGAUCCGCGCUGCAUUAGCUAGUUGUUAGGGUAACGGCUUACCAAGGAAACGAUGCAUAGCCGACCUGAGAGGGGGUUCGCCCCCAUAGAAGCUGAGCCACGUCCCUGGCUCUUAGGGACGGCAGAGACAGGGAAUCUAGCGAAAUGGGGGAAAGCUUGACGAAUCAACGCAAGGUGGGUGAGGAAGCGCUGCGUGUGGUAAAACGCUGUUAUGGGGGAAAACCAUAUGUGUAAGUAACGGUGCGCAAGUUACGGUAACCGAUGAAGAAGCCCAGGCUAAAUACGUG